GCUGACGCCGGCUCCUAUAACAACUCCUCAGUCAAAUAAGUGGUGUGUCCUCUGCUAUGGAGGUGUUAUUGUUUGUUUCUGUGAUCUUGGUGUGUGGUAUUUUUUGUCUGCUAUUGUUUUUUGUUGUGACUUGUUUUAGUGAGAAACAAGAUCAAGUGACAUGAGAUUCAGGGGAUGCUAAUUAAGUAAUGAAAUUAAUCACUUAAGAGGUGUUUUUUGUGUGAUUGUUGGAUCUAAAAUUAUGCAAUGGUUGACCAAGAAACUACAACUUUGUCCAGGGUUCAAGGAAAGAGUAAUCCAUAUGAUUCCUCCCUUGCUGCACAACUUUGCAUUCCAAUCAUAAAUGACCUACUGGUUGAGAUAAAAAACCAAAGCUACCAUGAACAAUGUUUUUUGAAUAUAGAUGUGCCAAACAAUGUUACUAACCAUAAGAUGUGUUGUUGAAAGCUUACCUUUUGAGAUCAAUGAUCUACCAAAUGUUUGCUCCAUGGUUGACCCUUAUUCUGAUAGUUUGAAGGAUGCAGAUGCAGAUGCAGUGGUACCAAUUGCAAAGCACAAGUCAAUUUUGGUUUUGGUUAUUAUAAUUUGUUCAUACAUUUGGUUUUUCCUUUUUUAUGGCUUUGAAAUGUACAUUGUUGUUUGACCUCUUGAUUAAAUGUAUCUUUAGAGUGCUGAAUCAAUACUAUCAUUGAUGCUAAUGAAGAGGUUUUUAAAUCAUUACAGGUUCAUGUUGAUGUGAUGCAGUGAGCUAGCUACAAGAAAAGGUAAGGAGUCUACUGCUUUGCUUCUUUGAAAAAUGAAGUUUAAAGAAAGAAUUAUUAAAAUACUAUUGUCCUUAUUUCAAAACUUUGAAUUUUUUUUAAAAAAAUUAUUAUUAUGAUUCUGUUAGUACCUUUCUGGGAAAACAAACUGAACUAGGAAUGUUAAGCCUUCCAAGUUGAAAGCAUGAAAGUUCAAGAAAAGCUUUUUCAGAGGUCUGCAACUUAUGUUAUGUUAUUGUUAUAUUAAGUUGUAUAGGAAGUUGGAAAUAGAACCAUGGCUCAAGAGAAUGAUGGCUGCCAAGUUUCCACAUUGAAUGACUUGCUUUUAUUUUGAAAAUUUGGAUUGAUUUAAUUUCUUAUAGAAAUUUUUGUUGGAGCAAGAAAUGAUGCUUCUGGAGUUUAUGCACUUGCUUUUAUGAGGUGUAUGAUUAAUGUUUGUUCUUGAAAUGUAAUUUAUAGAUAGAUACCAUAAGAACUGGAAUUGGCACUUUGGAAGCAAGAGUAUUAGUUAUUUUUUA